CGAACGGGGUAGCAAUACCUAGUGGCGGACGGGUGAGUAACGCGUGGGAAUCUGCCUUAAAAUGGGGGAUAGCUAGCCGAAAGGCUAAUUAAUACCGCAUAUGCCUAUAUUUCGACAGUUUUAUAGGUGAAAGGAGUAAUCCGUUUUAAGAUGAGCCCGCGUCCGAUUAGCUAGUUGGUAGGGUAAAAGCCUACCAAGGCUACGAUCGGUAGGUGGCCCGAGAGGGCGAUCACCCACAAUGGAACUGAGACACGGUCCAUACUCC
rnacentral:rRNA from 1 species